GCUACAAGCCGGGCUAUCGCUUUUCGCCACUGGCGGAGGGAGGAAAGUCCGGACAGCACAGAGCAAUGCACCCCGUGAUAAGCGGGGGACUUUUCUUUCUUAGACAGAAAAGAACAGACAGUGCCACAGAAAAUAACCUCACCCCUUAUCCUCAUCAUUGCGGGCAAAGCAAAGCAAUCAGAGGGUAAGGGGUGAAAGGGUGAAAACGUAGGGUAAGAGCCUACGGCUGAUGAUGGUAACGUCACCAGCGGGUAAACCUUGCAUGCUGAAAUGCCACGUAUAGUACCGUUUGAGGGCUGCUCGCCCGAGGUACAGGGUAGGCAGAUUGAUCCCGCAGGGCAACUUGCGGGACAGAUAAAUGAUGGCCCUCGACAGAAUCCGGCUUACAGGCUUGUAGUUUUU
rnacentral:RNase_P_RNA from 1 species